rnacentral:lncRNA from 1 species
GGUUCAAAGGACUUUCAACCACUUUCUGAAAGCUAGAGGGAACCAUUUUAGGAUUUUAUGCAAGGAAUUAACUUGAUAAAAUUUGUAUUUUAGAAAGAUUAUUUUGGCACAAGAAUGGAAAAUGGAUUUGAAGAAGGUAAGAUUGGAGGCAAGGCAGUCUAUGAGAAGCUACUGCUGAAAUCUCGGAAAGAAGAUGAAAGUGAGGCAGACCAUAUGGGACUUGGACCUUGAUUGACAAAUGAGCACAGUAUGUGGUUUUCAGGGGGAAUUUACUGAAAAGAGAACCCUUCACUGUUUUAUGGAUGGAUUUUGGAGGAAUCUACAGUCAAUGCAUAUUUCUAAAUUCCUUCACAACUGCUGUGAUUCUCUAAAUCUUGGGUCACUUUAAUACUGAAGCAUUUUAUUAUAAAUGAAGCUGUCCUAUGCAAUAUAGACUCUCCCAGAGAGACACUAACUCCAAAUUCAUCACUGAAAUCAGCCCAAGAGAAUAUCCUUCUUAUCUAGGCAUUUUGUGAGUAUACAACUUAAUAUUUCAUUGUGAUAAACAGUCAAGGAUUCUGAACAAAGAUGAAUAUAAUUUAUUCAAAGUCACCUUCAUACAAAUGGCAAUUUUGGAUGAAAGUAGAAACGCCUAUUUCUUAAUCAUAGUUUCUUCAUUUUUUCUGGUAGUCCUAGAAGUUCUAACGCUAGAUGCUGGUGGUAAAAAGUAAUAUUGGGUGAUAAUAAAUAUAUUAUGAAAUAUCCUUUCUUUUUGAAGUUUUUUUGAGACUUUUCACAAUUGUGACCACUACAAAACUACCCCUAAAAUUAUUUCAAUCUACAUUAUCUAUACAUGUAGGUUGAUACAGCAAUAUUUCCUGGCACCCAUCUAAGUCAUGACAGUUGUUAUUUCAGAGACUUUAACUUAGUUAUUGAAGCACAUCUUAAUAUAGUUGAGAAGUCAUUACUGGAGUUGAUAGUGCUUUCAAUCUUUUACUAAAACUUAUAUAUUGAGAAUCAGCAUUGGACAGCACACAGUCCUUCAAGGGUUAGAAAACAUUUGACACGAAACUUUAAAAAAAAUUCAGUUUAAAAUCUAUGUGAUUAAAAUAUGUGACUCAAGCAUCUAAAAGAAAGUUGUUUACAUUUCCAGGCUAAAACCUAUGUAAUUAUUUAUACUACCAGUAUGAUGAAAAUUAUUCACCAACCAUUUUAUGGAUCAAUAAUUAAUUAAUAAACACCUAUAAUCUGUGUACCUGGGAAUCUAGACUUAGAGAGGUAGUAAGGGAUAGAAUCAAUAUUUAGGACACACUGAUCCUAUUUGAUGUUUUUUAUGCUCUUGUAAUUGGUUUAUCUUUUCUAUUUGCUGCUUCUUGAUAGGUGGGUUUUCUUAUUAAUUUUGGGUUUGGUUAUGUGACUUGUUUUGCUCUUUAGAAUAUGAAUAAAAUCGAAAGCAUUAAGUGAGCUGAGGUUUUAGGAGGCUUUAUGGACGUCCAGUUGCCCUCUUAGUUCUGUCCCUGAACUAAGUACUGGGUUCCAAAAUAACACAGAGUCCCAGCUUAGUGAAGAGAGCAAGAAAUAAAUAUUUGUCUUUGAAAGCCAUUGAAAUGUUGAAAUUGUCUGAUGCGCUAUAACCUGGGAAAAGUUUUAUGUGUAUACACUUAAGCUUCACAGCCAUUAUAUGAACUGCAUGUAAUAUUUUCAUU